UACGGAGGGUGCAAGCGUUAUCCGGAUUCACUGGGUUUAAAGGGUGCGUAGGCGGGUAUUUAAGUCAGUGGUGAAAUCCUAGAGCUUAACUCUAGAACUGCCAUUGAUACUAUUUAUCUUGAAUAUUGUGGAGGUAAGCGGAAUAUGUCAUGUAGCGGUGAAAUGCUUAGAUAUGACAUAGAACACCUAUUGCGAAGGCAGCUUACUACGCAUAUAUUGACGCUGAGGCACGAAAGCGUGGGGGAUCAAACAGGAUUAGAUGCCCUGGUAGUCCACGCCCUAAACGAUGGAUACUCGACAUACGCGAUACACUGUGUGUGUCUGAGCGAAAGCAUUAAGUAUCCCACCUGGGAAGUACGACCGCAAGGUUGAAACUCAAAG
rnacentral:rRNA from 1 species